GAUGAACGCUGGCGGCGUGCCUAAUACAUGCAAGUCGAGCGAACAGAUGAGGAGCUUGCUCCUCUGACGUUAGCGGCGGACGGGUGAGUAACACGUGGAUAACCUACCUAUAAGACUGGGAUAACUUCGGGAAACCGGAGCUAAUACCGGAUAAUAUAUUGAACCGCAUGGUUCAAUAGUGAAAGACGGUUUUGCUGUCACUUAUAGAUGGAUCCGCGCCGCAUUAGCUAGUUGGUAAGGUAACGGCUUACCAAGGCAACGAUGCGUAGCCGACCUGAGAGGGUGAUCGGCCACACUGGAACUGAGACACGGUCCAGACUCCUACGGGAGGGAGCAGUAGGGAAUCUUCCGCAAUGGGCGAAUGCCUGACGGAGCAACGCCGCGUGAGUGAUGAAGGUCUUCGGAUCGUAGAACUCUGUUAUUAGGGAAGAACAAAUGUGUAAGUAACUAUGCACGUCUUGACGGUACCUAAUCAGAAAGCCACGGCUAACUACGUG
rnacentral:rRNA from 1 species